AUAGAAAUAUAAGCCUGUCAGCCCAGCCUGAAACAAAGAGACCAAGAUCUUCUUCGCCAAUGGUGAUUUCUAAAACUAGGGUUCAUCGUCUUCUUCAGCCUUGACAACCUAAGCCAUCAAUGGAGUUUCAAGAGGUUGAGUGAGAUGAAUCGUCAUGAAGAAUCUAUGUGUCCAGUUCGAUUGUCGUUUCAUCUUAUGAUCCUUCCUCUCCUCUAGAACGUUACCUGAUUCAUUGAAUCAUUGCCUUUAACAACCUUCUUAACUCAGUGAGAUAAAACAUUCAAUGUUUGGGAUCUUAUAUCUCUUCUAGGCGGUGGAUCUCCAUCUAUAAAAAAGACAACUUUCAUCCCUGAUAACAUCAUUCUCACAACUCCUGAUAAUACCAAAAACUUAUUUUCAGUUUAGUGCUUCUUAUUCUCAUCGUUCUCACAAUUCAUCGGACGAUCAAGAUGCCCAUUAAAGAUCCUUCAAUCAAUCCUCCCAAUACGUCUUGCUUUUGGAAGGUCCGAAUGUGAAGAGGAGGUGCGCUCAAGAAGACAAUAAAGAAGAAUCGUUUCGCUACUCACCUCACCAGAUCCAACGGCUUGAAAUGUAUUCUCUCUUAUUCUCUACUCAACUAUUCUCUCCAGUUCUUUCUUUCUGUUCUCUUAUGAUUGUGUUUGCAGGGCUUUUGAUGAGUGUUUGACAUUCAGAUGAGAAACAGAGGAUGCAACUUAGCUUUGAUGAACAGAAGCUUCAAUUGAAACUGCACAGCUUAGAGAAGAGCUCGUGAGGGCUUCAAGCAUUGCAGCUAAAUCAUGGGAGGCCACUUUCUCAUCUCCCACCACUACUAAACCAGAUGCACGUUUCUCCAUUAGAGUUACUCCACAGUGGUCUUUUGCUUGAUUUUAAUCUUCUUCCAGGAAGUUGUUCUUCAAUGACUGCCUCGAGUUUACCGUAUCUUGGUUAUCUCGGACAUGGAUAAGUCUCUGACGAUUAACAUUGAUGUGACCGCUAUGAAAGAAUUGCUUAGGCUUACACAAACUAAUGAGCCUCUGUGGAUCAAAACAGAUGGAUGCCUAGACGUUCUCAGUCUCAAAAGCUAUGAGAAUGCAUUCCCAAGAUUGAGUAGUCGUGGAGGAAAGAACCACAACCUUAGAGUGGAAGUAAUAGAUCUGAUGGCAUUGUUUUCACUAAUGCAGUGACACUUGUGGAGAUGCUCAUGGACUCUGUCAAAGCUCGAGAGCUUUUUCCUUCAGUCGUUGCAGCAUCUAAAACUCUUGGAGUGGUUUCAUCUAAGAUUGCGUGGAAAUCACGGAGAUGCCUUACAUUUGACAACAACAUGAUCUGAAGGCGGUGGAAUGAUUCUGGAAGAUCAAAGACGUGACUGCUUCUGUUUUGUAUUUUGGAAUCAAUAAGAUUAGCUCUGUUAAGCCUCUGUGGAAUCAAAAAGAAAAAAUAUUAGCUAUGUUUUGCGACACUCACCGAAUGCUACUUUCAAUUAUUUUUAUAUGAAACUC